ACACCUCCUCUUCCUGCCUUUCUCAGUUCUCCGUUCUGCUUUUCCUGUUCCCGCGUUACUCAUGUUGGAUUUGCCUUUGUAUUUUAUGUAUAGAUGCAGUUGCAAUUGUGCAGUCUGAGCCACAGAGUUCCAGUUUGUUUUUAACCGAUCUGUUUGUGGACUUUGCUCUUUGCUGGAUUUCUUUCUUCCCGCCUGUUUCCUGUUUGUGUCUCACUGCUUCCCUCACAUCUCCCUCAGCAGCCUUUUCCAGCAUUACUUCUAACAAAAGUUUAUCUUACAUUUCUUGGUCAUGGAUGAUUUCGUAAGAACCAAACUGGUUGAAUGGGGGCUAAGUGAGUGGGUGGAAAAAUUUAAAGAUCAAGAAAUUGAUGAAGAAAAUAUUUUUGAGCUUGAUGAUCGAGAAAUUGAGAAUUUGAUCACAAAAGCUGGACCAAGAAUGAGAUUCAAGAAGAACCUCAAGCUGUUAAAGGUCUUGCCAUCCACAAGUGAUACAGGUGAGACACAUGCAUCAUAUUUAUUGCAUCUCAUAUUAUUCUG